rnacentral:rRNA from 1 species
GACGGGACCCGCACAAGCAGCGGAGCGUGUUGGUUUAAUUCGUUGCUACACGAAGAACCUUUACCUGGGUUUGACAUAUAGGUUGUAGGGAACUGAAAAGGGACCGACCCUUCGGGAGCCUAUACAGGUGUUGCAUGGCUGUCGUCAGCUCGUGUCGUGAGAUGUUCGGUUAAGUCCGCUAACGAGCGCAACCCUCGUCGUAUGUUAUAUGUGUCAUACGAGACUGCCGGUAAAAGCCGGAGGAAGGUGAGGAUGAUGUCAAGUCAGCAUGACCUUUAUAUCCAGGGCUACACACACGCUACAAUGGUCUGUACAAUGGGUAGCCAAGCCGCGAGGCGGAGCCAAUCCUGAAAGCAGGCCUCAGUUCAGAUUGCAGUCUGCAACUCGACUGCAUGAAGCCGGAGUUGCUAGUAACCGCAGGUCAGCAAUACUGCGGUGAAUACGUUCCCGGGUCUU